GACGGCGGAGGCAAGCGAUAUCCGGAAUUAUUGGGCGUAAAGCGUCCGUAGGUGGUUGGCCAAGUCUGCUGUCAAAGGGUGGGGCUUAACCUCAUAAAGGCAGUGGAAACUGGCGAGCUAGAGUGCGGUAGGGGUAGGGGGAAUUCCCAGUGUAGCGGUGAAAUGCGUAGAGAUUGGGAAGAACAUCGGUGGCGAAAGCGCCCUGCUGGGCCUGCACUGACACUGAGGGACGAAAGCUAGGGGAGCGAAAGGG
rnacentral:rRNA from 1 species